rnacentral:rRNA from 1 species
GGCGAAAGCCUGACGGAGCAAUACCGCGUGAGGGAGGAAGGCUCUUGGGUUGUAAACCUCUUUUCUCAAGGAAGAACACAAUGACGGUACUUGAGGAAUAAGCAUCGGCUAACUCCGUGCCAGCAGCCGCGGUAAUACGGAGGAUGCAAGCGUUAUCCGGAAUGAUUGGGCGUAAAGCGUCCGCAGGUGGCUGUGUAAGUCUGCUGUUAAAUAGUGAGGCUCAACCUCAUAAAGGCAGUGGAAACUACAUGGCUAGAGUGCGUUCGGGGCAGAGGGAAUUCCUGGUGUAGCGGUGAAAUGCGUAGAGAUCAGGAAGAACACCGGUGGCGAAAGCGCUCUGCUAGGCCGCAACUGACACUGAGGGACGAAAGCUAGGGGAGCGAAUGGGAUUAGAUACCCCAGUAGUCCUAGCCGUAAACGAUGGAUACUAGGCGUGGCUUGUAUCGACCCGAGCCGUGCCGUAGCUAACGCGUUAAGUAUCCCGCCUGGGGAGUACGCAGGCAACUGUGAAACUCAAAGGAAUUGACGGGGGCCCGCACAAGCGGUGGAGUAUGUGGUUUAAUUCGAUGCAACGCGAAGAACCUUACCAGGACUUGACAUGUCGCGAAUUGAGGUGAAAGCUUCAAGUGCCUUCGGGAGCGCGAACACAGGUGGUGCUUGGCUGUCGUCAGCUCGUGUCGUGAGAUGUUGGGUUAAGUCCCGCAACGAGCGCAACCCUCGUUUUUAGUUGCCAUCAUUAAGUUGGGCACUCUAGAGAGACUGCCGGUGACAAACCGGAGGAAGGUGGGGAUGACGUCAGGUCAGCAUGCCCCUUACGUUCUGGGCUACACACGUACUACAAUGCUACGGACAAAGGGCAGCUACACAGCGAUGUGAUGCUAAUCUCACAAACCGUAGCUCAGUUCAGAUCGCAGGCUGCAACUCGCCUGCGUGAAGGAGGAAUCGCUAGUAAUUGCAGGUCAGCAUACUGCAGUGAAUUCGUUCCCGGGCCUUGUACACACCGCCCGUCACACCAUGGAAGCUGGUAGUGCCCGAAGUCAUUACCCCAACGAUUCGUCGAGGGGGAUGCCUAAGGCAGGACUGGUGACUGGGGUGAAGUCGUAACAAGGUAGCCGUACCGGAAGGUGUGGCUGGAUCACCCCCUUUAAAGGAGACCUACCCGCUCAAAUAUUGAAAACAAUUUGUGAUUAAAUAUUGAGUUGGUCAUCCUAAAGGUCGGUCGCGACAAGAUUGUAACUUACUUUCAAACUAUAUUUUGGUUCGUAAUUGGGCUAUUAGCUCAGGUGGUUAGAGCGCACCCCUGGUAAGGGUGAGGUCCCUGGUUCGAGUCCAGGAUGGCCCACCUAAAAAAGUUAUUUGAGAAAAGUCAAAAGUCACUCAUAAUUCGUUAUUUUCCUUUUUUGCCUUUUGCCUAGUAACUUUUGAUGUUGGGGUAAAGCCAAUGUCUGGAUGUUAGCGAUGAAAAGUCCGUUAACCAACAGUAAUUAGAUAUGGAUUCUUCAGCAACUGAGCAACUUCAUUGCCAGCCUGCUGGAUAUAUAUCCAGUAAUUGAACCUUGAAAACUGCAUAGUGAAGCGAAUAUUAGCAGGCAGACACACAGACAGAAAUAGUCGAAUGUUUGCAGACAAUUGUUAUUUUGGUCAAGCGAAUAAGGGCUAACGGU